CCAAUAGCGUAUAUUAAAGUUGUUGCAGUUAAAAAGCUCGUAGUUGAAUUUCGGGAUUGACACAUCGGUCGUGCCCUAAGGGGUAUGAACUGGUGUAGUCAAUUUCUCACCUUCUGGAGAACCGCGAUGCCCUUAAUUGGGUGUCACGGGGAACCAGGACCUUUACUUUGAAAAAAUUAGAGUGUUUAAAGCAGGCAUUUUGCUUGAAUACAUUAGCAUGGAAUAAUAAAAUAGGACGGCAUGAUUCUAUUUUGUUGGUUUCUAGGAUCACCGUAAUGAUUAAUAGGGAUAGUUGGGGGCAUUGGUAUUCAAUUGUCAGAGGUGAAAUUCUUGGAUUUAUUGAAGACUAACUACUGCGAAAGCAUUUGCCAAGGAUGUUUUCAUUAAUCAAGAACGAAAGUUAGGGGAUCGAAGACGAUCAGAUACCGUCGUAGUCUUAACCAUAAACUAUGCCGACUAGGAAUCAGACGAUGUUAAUUUUUUAAUGACUCGUUUGGCACCUUAC
rnacentral:rRNA from 1 species